UCUACCUAGUAGUAUGGAAUAAUUGUUGGAAACGGCAACUAAUACCGUAUACGCCCUACGGGGGAAAAAUUUAUUGCUAUUGGAUGAGCCUAUAUUAGAUUAGCUAGUUGGUGGAGUAAUAGCCUACCAAGGCAAUGAUCUAUAGCUGAUCUGAGAGGAUGAUCAGCCACACUGGAACUGAGAUACGGUCCAGACUCCUACGGGAGGCAGCAGUGGGGAAUAUUGGACAAUGGGCGAAAGCCUGAUCCAGCCAUGCCGCAUGAGUGAAGAAGGCCUUUGGGUUGUAAAGCUCUUUUAGUGAGGAAGAUAAUGACGGUACUCACAGAAGAAGUCCUGGCUAACUCCGUGCCAGCAGCCGCGGUAAUACGGAGAGGGCUAGCGUUAUUCGGAAUUAUUGGGCGUAAAGGGCGCGUAGGCUGGUUAAUAAGUUAAAAGUGAAAUCCCGAGGCUUAACCUUGGAAUUGCUUUUAAAACUAUUAAUCUAGAGAUUGAAAGAGGAUAGAGGAAUUCCUGAUGUAGAGGUAAAAUUCGUAAAUAUUAGGAGGAACACCAGUGGCGAAGGCGUCUAUCUGGUUCAAAUCUGACGCUGAAGCGCGAAGGCGUGGGGAGCAAACAGGAUUAGAUACCCUGGUAGUCCACGCUGUAAACGAUGAAUGUUAAAUAUGGGAAGUUUACUUUCUGUAUUACAGCUAACGCGUUAAACAUUCCGCCUGGGGACUACGGUCGCAAGAUUAAAACUCAAAGGAAUUGACGGGGACCCGCACAAGCGGUGGAGCAUGUGGUUUAAUUCGAUGCA
rnacentral:rRNA from 1 species